rnacentral:rRNA from 1 species
UACGAAGGCAGCAGUGGGGAAUAUUGCACAAUGGGCGAAAGCCUGAUGCAGCUAUGCCGCGUGUAUGAAGAAGGCCUUAGGGUUGUAAAGUACUUUCAUCGGGGAGGAAAAACAAAACUAAUAAUUUUAUUUCUUGACGUUACCCGAAAAAGAAGCACCGGCUAACUCCGUGCCAGCAGCCGCGGUAAUACGGAGGGUGCUAGCGUUAAUCAGAAUUACUGGGCGUAAAGAGCACGUAGGUGGUUUUUUUAAGUCAGAUGUGAAAUCCCUGGGCUUAACCUAGGAACUGCAUUUUGAAACUGAAAUACUAGAGUAUCGUAGAGGGAGGUAGAAUUCUAGGUGUAGCGGUGAAAUGCGUAGAUAUCUGGAGGAAUACCUGUGGCGAAAGCGGCCUCCUAAACGAAUACUGACACUGAGGGUGCGAAAAGCGUGGGGAGCAAAACAGGGAUUAGAUACC